rnacentral:lncRNA from 1 species
UUUUUUGUGUCACGUUUGAACAGAUACCUUUGAGAAGUUUAUGAUUCUCCAAGUUCUCUUUCUCCUACUGUGGCACCUACUGACAAGAUAAAUGUGUAGAGGUUCCUGAGUCUAGGGGCACUGGAACCAGCUGACUGAUCUAUGGAAGUUCCCUUGGUCUCCAUUUGUUUAGAAAAGGGAUGAAGAAACUGAGGCCCACAGAAGGUGGGUGAUACCUGCAAAAUCACAAGCUUUCAUGGUGAAAGAAGAGGGCAAAACUCAACCCGUCUCUUUAGACUUGGGAAGAAUAUGAAAGGACCAGGAGGGACACCUUUCCUAAUAACCUAGCUGAUGGUUCACUUAUUGUAAGCACAUUCUCAAACAAGAGGCUGGAAAGCUGAAAAAUGACAUUCCCAGACUCCAUUGAAAUUAGAUUUCCAGAGGUGAUUUAUGUUCCACACAUCAGAUGUAUAUGCUCAAGAUUUGUUUAACAGGGAAGGAGGCAGUGGUGUGUGGGUCCCUUUUGCUCAUGUGAAUCUUACAGAGUUGUCUCACUAAGCCCAAAUUUGUCUAACUGGCCUUAUUUCCCUGGAGUAUAUCCUGGAAGUUUCCAUUCAAGCCAAUUUAAGUUACUUUAAAUUAGGAAAGGCAGAAAACAAAAGCCCAAACCUUUGUAAAGGAGGAGGAUUUGCUACAUUGUUCUCAAUUCAUCACAGAAGAGGAUGAAACUGAGUGAUUAC